GACGAACGCUGGCGGCGUGCUUAACACAUGCAAGUCGAACGGAAAGGCCCUGCUUUUGUGGGGUGCUCGAGUGGCGAACGGGUGAGUAACACGUGAGUAACCUGCCCUUGACUUUGGGAUAACUUCAGGAAACUGGGGCUAAUACCGGAUAGGAGCUCCUGCUGCAUGGUGGGGGUUGGAAAGUUUCGGCGGUUGGGGAUGGACUCGCGGCUUAUCAGCUUGUUGGUGGGGUAGUGGCUUACCACGGCUUUGACGGGUAGCCGGCCUGAGAGGGUGACCGGCCACAUUGGGACUGAGAUACGGCCCAGACUCCUACGGGAGGCAGCAGUGGGGAAUAUUGCACAAUGGGCGGAAGCCUGAUGCAGCAACGCCGCGUGCGGGAUGACGGCCUUCGGGGUGUAAACCGCUUUCGCCUGUGACGAAGCGUGAGUGACGGUAAUGGGUAAAGAAGCACCGGCUAACUACGUG
rnacentral:rRNA from 1 species